rnacentral:tRNA from 1 species
AAUUGAUUAGUCUAAUUUAAGACAUUUGUUUUGAAAACAAAAAAUAAAUAUUAAUAAAUUAUCAAUUU